CUUGUCUCUGAUACCACUUUAAUCUGUCACGCCCCGGGGUCCCCUUUUAGUUUGAAACACAGCGAAAAAGCGUUUAAAUUUUUUUUUGAAAACCUGACCCCAGAGUAUGCCAGAUCCGCCACAAAUACAGGAAAUCCACUUUUCACACGGACAGAGUCUCCCCUGUAUUUGCACGGCGUCGCACAAGUACAAAAUACAAACCGUAUACAACCACAACUAAAUGAAUAUACAGAUAGCUAUACAUUCAUACAUUCACCAUUCACACCGUAGUUUUACAUUCGAUGUUUAAACAAAAGUCCACGAAAAACCUUUUGAAAACUGUUCCAUACGCGAAAACUUUUACCUUUUAUAAAAGCUACCACGAGGGGUAGAAAACCUUUUAUUUUACCAAAUCCAGAAAUCCUUUUAUUACAUUCAUGAAAGUCCACAUAUUCCAAUGUAAUAAAAAUACUGAACCAUAUAAACUGACUAAGCUAUAACAACAGAAUAGUAGGGAUAAAACUAAACCGAU
rnacentral:lncRNA from 1 species